rnacentral:rRNA from 1 species
UACGUAGGUGACUAGCGUUGUCCGGAUUUACUGGGCGUAAAGAGCGCGCAGGCGGUCGUUCAAGUCGAGUGUGAAAGCCCCCGGCUCAACUGGGGAGGGUCACUUGAUACUGAUCGACUCGAAGGCAGGAGAGGGAAGCGGAAUUCCCGGUGUAGAGGUGAAAUUCGUAGAUAUUAGGAAGAACACCAGUGGCGAAGGCGGCUCACUGGCCCGGUACUGACGCUGAGGCGCGAAAGCGUGGGGAGCAAACAGG